GACGAACGCUGGCGGCGUGCCUAAUACAUGCAAGUAGAACGCACAGUUUAUACCGUAGCUUGCUACACCAUAGACUGUGAGUUGCGAACGGGUGAGUAACGCGUAGGUAACCUGCCUGGUAGCGGGGGAUAACUAUUGGAAACGAUAGCUAAUACCGCAUAAUAUUGAUUAUUGCAUGAUAAUUGAUUGAAAGGUGCAAUUGCACCACUACCAGAUGGACCUGCGUUGUAUUAGCUAGUAGGUGAGGUAACGGCUCACCUAGGCGACGAUACAUAGCCGACCUGAGAGGGUGAUCGGCCACACUGGGACUGAGACACGGCCCAGACUCCUACGGGAGGCAGCAGUAGGGAAUCUUCGGCAAUGGACGAAAGUCUGACCGAGCAACGCCGCGUGAGUGAAGAAGGUUUUCGGAUCGUAAAGCUCUGUUGUAAGAGAAGAACGGGUGUGAGAGUGGAAAGUUCACAAUGUGACGGUAGCUUACCAGAAAGGGACGGCUAACUACGUG
rnacentral:rRNA from 1 species